UGGUUGGGCCUUCUCUUCUUCCUAAGAACACAGCAGCGCGAACCCCAAUCCCCAACGCGUAGCCGCCAGCUCCAGCUUGCCGACGGUGGCGGCGGGCCAGAUCCGGUGCCUAGCUGGGCGAUUGCGCCCGGUGGAGGUCCAGAUCCAUCCAUGACCGUCUUCUCGCCGGCUUUCUGGCUGCCCCGGCGGACCCCCUCUGUCCGAAGCUGAGACCUUGUGCGGGCAAGUUCUCCAAGGUACUCUGCUGCGACCUCCAUAGAAAACUCUCAUUCCAUUAUUUCUCCUACCCCAAUGAGCCCAUUCUUCACACCUUGCCUGCAUCUAAUUCCUCCAUCUGGGAACAUCGUAGAAGAAAUCUCCAGUCUUCAUGUAUGCUUGUCUGAAAGGUUGAUACUAAUUUUCAUACUUGAUUCUGUAGCAUUUAUUUAGGAAAUCACUUUUGUUCAACUUCUACUGCAAACUGUGCAUGUCAUCUACUCCUCACAAACAAGAACAUAAUAUUAUGGACAAAAUUUUACACUGUAAAGAGACUUGUGCUUGGAGUUCAGACUGAAAGUGCCAAGUAUUCUGCAAAUAUUAUGUACCAAAUUUCAGACUUGUGCUUGGACAGUCUGAAAGUACUCUACGGAGUAAAAUUUCAUACUUCCAGACUUGUGCUUUGACGGUCUGGAAGUACUUCUGCUUGUACCAAACUUCAUACUUUCAGACUGACAGUCUGAAAGAUAACAUUCGCAAAGAUGACAAUCUAAAAUUAUUUGUUCUUGUACCAAAAUUCAAACUUUCAGACUUGUGCUUGGACAGCCUGAAAGUGCCAAAUUUUAGACUAACUUGGACAGUGUGAAAGCCUGAAAGUGCCGAAUACUUGUGCUUCGACAUGUCAUCUACGACAUACAUAUUAUUAGUACUUCAAACUUCUUUGGCGUAAAGAGUACACGCAGUACAUAAUAUUAUUUAGAAAUCAUUUUGGUUCAACUCUUACUACAAACUUCAAGCACAAUGCUGUAGCAUAUCAACUUUAUUUAGGAGGACAUGAUAUUUUGACAUAGAUAUCUGAAAGUAAUCUUGCUUUAAAAUAGUGCUUCGAGCAUAUGUUGUAUCCUCUAUGAUAAGAUUAAAAAAUUCUGGAUCUUUGGAAAUGAUAUGAACAGCAAGCAUAUGAACAUUCUGGAUCAUGUUUGUGAGUGAUCAAUACAAAAAGAUUAGAGAUGUGUCUUAUGACACAAUAUCCAUGACCUCUAAAUGUUCUUGCAAGCUUUUUGAGUCCAAUGGAAUCGUGUGCCGCCAUAUUAUCCGAGUGUUGAGGGGUGCGAAAAUAAAUGAAUUGCCAAGAAUUUAUGUUCUUAAGCGGUGGGAGAGAAAUUGCAAAAGGGACAUUAUCUUCGACGGGGAAGGGAACAUGCUUGAAGAGAAUUUAAUUGGCCCAGUUGGCAUGGCUAUGAAAAAGGAAGAUAGCUCUCGUUAGGAACAAGCUAGAAGAUCUCAUUCCGAAGUAUAAAGGUUCAAUGGAAGGAAUUGAAUUCCUGCACACUAGUUUGUGCAACGCUCAGAUGGCUUUAGCCCAUCUCGUACCGGCUGUAGCAUGCAACACACACGAAAAUGAGGAGUCAUUUAUCGGGAGCAUCAUUCGAAAGCACGUUACCAUCCACACACCUACUGAUAUCAAUGCAAGGGGCACUUGCUCUAGAAUAAAGGGACACAGGGAUGCUGUGAGGAGUGGGUCGAGUGAGAAGAAAAGAAGGCCUGGAAUCCAUCAAAAAGUCGCACGCAAAUGUAGCAUUUGUAAGGAAGUGGUGUUCCAUGAUGCAAGGACAUGCUCUAAGAAACAAAUGACACAGCAAUAGAGAGGUAGAUGAAAGUUAUGUGAGAGCAUAUCAUCAUGUGAAACAAAUUGCGCAACUGAAGAAUCUUCAUCUUUUCAAAAGAAAAAUAACCAUUUUGUGGUUCACUGGUUAUAGGUCUGACUUCUCCCAGCACAAGAAGAUUGAUAAGCAAGAGGCACUAGUACUGGAGGCAAAAGGCAAUAACUUUUCUGUUGUGUACCAAACAGAGCAAACUUGAUGCAAAUUCCGACGGCAAGCUUGUUCAGCAGACAGCGGUGCUUACUUUAGUCCUGCAUACUUUGUGUUGUCUGUGAUGUACCAAAAAUGGUCCUCUCAUGUUAUGUACUCCCUCUGAAGUUAGUACAAAGUUGGGUCAUCUAUUUUGGAACGGAGGGAGUAACACUUUAUAUGUAUGUGUGUCGUCUCUAUUCUGUUCUGUUCUAUCUGGGAUCGUGCAAUUUAAAAUGUAUGUGUAGUUAUGGUUUAAAGUGGAUGGACUAAUUUUCUCAUGUCUCA